rnacentral:misc_RNA from 1 species
AAGAGUUUAUAACUCCCAAACCCAUGUGAACAUACCUCUCGUUGCCUCGGCAGUCCGCGCCCUCGCGGGUCGCGCUGCCGGCGGCCCACGCAAACUCUGUUUGAUACUGGACUUCUGAAACCUAUACUUAAUAAGUUA